rnacentral:rRNA from 1 species
CGCUGGCGGCGUGCCUAACACAUGCAAGUCGAGCGAGAAAGUUCUUUCGGGAACUAGUAAAGCGGCGAACGGUUGAGUAACGCGUGAGAAUCUACCCUUCAGUGAGGAAUACCUCCGAGAAAUCGGUGUUAAUACUGCAUACGUCCCUUCGGGGAGAGAGGUGGCUUUAAUGCUGCCGCUGAUGGAUGAGCUUGCGAGCUAUCAGUUAGUUGGUGAGGUAAUGGCUCACCAAGGCUAUGACGGCUAUCCGGCCUGAGAGGGUGUACGGACAGACUGGGACUUAGACACGGCCCAGACUCCUACGGGAGGCAGCAGUGGGGAAUAUUGCGCAAUGGGCGAAAGCCUGACGCAGCGACGCCGCGUGAAGGAUGAAGGUCUUCGGAUUGUAAACUUCUGUUAAGUGGGAAGAAAGAUGCAUUUUUAAUAGAAAUGUGUGAUGACGGUACCAUUAGAGAAAGCACCGGCUAACCUCGUGCCAGCAGCCGCGGUAAUACGAGGGGUGCAAGCGUUAUUCGGAAUUAUUGGGCGUAAAGGGUGUGUAGACGGCAUACUAAGUCAACUGUUUAAUUCUCCGGCCUAACCGGAGGUCAGCGGUAGAAACUGGUAAGCUAGAGUAUGGAAGAGAGAAGUGGAAUUCUCGGAGUAGCGGUAAAAUGCGUAGAUCUCGAGAGGAACACCAAUGGCGAAAGCAGCUUCUUGGUCCAUUACUGACGUUGAGACACGAAAGCGUGGGGAGCAAAC